rnacentral:tRNA from 1 species
GGAGGUUUAGCUCAGCGGCAUAAGCGCCUGCCUUGCAAGCAGGCGGUCAUGAGUUCGAUUCCUGUACCA